GAGGAGAAUUAGAGAGAAAUUGAGAAUCAACCAAGUUUAAGGCCCCGAAUCCCGAAGCUCGUGAAGGAUAAAGUGUAGUACAAGUUGUUGCCGUCAUUCUAAGCUAAAAAUCAAACUUGGGGAUGUUGAUUUCGUGGUGACUACUCAUAAAAGAUUAAGGUUGAAGGGAUUGAAGGACAUUGUGAUACGCUCAAAAGCAGGAAGUCAAGGUACGGAUUUACAGGAUGACGCUUCUGCUCAUUAGGAUUUGCACGUACCAGCUUAUUGGUGAGCCCCAUCUCAUUCGGGGUUUUGACAUUGUCUUUUUUUAUUUAGUUUUACAUCUAAAGGUAUGCUGGGGGCCUUAUCCCAGCAAGUACGUUUUAUGAUCAGACUCAUGCUAGAGGUUUCAUAAACUAGACAAGUCAGUUGGGUCAUGUUAGACUUUCAGAAUCGGUUAGCCAUUUAGGCUCAGCUAUGGUAUUAUCCGCGCUCUUGUUUUUAAACAAGUAUUUUAUAAUCAUUAUGACUUCAUAUGUUUUCUUAAAGCCCAUCAUGUUUCAUAAUAUAUUUUCACUCACGUAUGUCUCAUGAUGAUUCAGCAAGCCAUGUGAUUCGCUCGGUCACAUACAGUCAGGCACCGAGUGCCGUGUUUCGCCCAGGCCAUGGUUCGGG